AAAGGCCUGGCCUCCCGGCAAUUCGACUCAAUAGUCUUCUGUGGUUCAUACCUUUAUACCAGUCAGUUCAGAAUGUAAUACCGCGUUUAACGCAAACUAUAUACAACUUUCAGCAACGGAUCUCUUGGCUCUCGCAUCGAUGAAGAACGCAGCGAAAUGCGAUAAGUAAUGUGAAUUGCAGAAUUCAGUGAAUCAUCGAAUCUUUGAACGCACCUUGCACUCCUUGGUAUUCCGAGGAGUAUGCCUGUUUGAGUGUCAUGGUAUUCUCAAUUCUAAUAACUUUUGUUAUCGGARUUGGACUUGGAGGUUUUUUGCCGGUGCUUCGGCGGCUGGCUCCUCUUAAAUGCAUUAGUGUGAAUCAAGUUACACAUCAUUCAGUGUGAUAAUUAUCUGCGCUGUCUCAUGUUAACUUUAUAAGUGUUCAUGCUUAUAACCCGUCUGUUGACUCAGACACUUACUUUGAAAUCUGACCUCAAAUCA
rnacentral:rRNA from 1 species